AUGGGGCUGGCCUCCCCACCACUGCAAACCACCUGCCCCAGCACAGGGACCAUUACCUGCAUCAACCACUGCCAGCAUCACCCCCAGAUGGGAUGGAUGUCACUUUAUCACCUGAGGUGGCCACAGCAGAGCCAGGGAGCCCACAGCCAAGCACAGCACAGAGGUGGCUAGAGCAGAUGACCUGGUACACUCCAGCCGCACCAGCAUUUCCAAGGAGCUCCAGCAGGGCCAAAGGAUGCUAAAGGAUGGGUCCAGCUGGAUCUGGCCCCGCAUGGCCUCACCUGCUCCUCCAGCAUCAUGCGGACUGAGCGCUCCUUGUCCAGCUGCUGCCGAAGCUCGAUCAUCUCCCGCCGCAGAUCCUCAGCCUUCUCGUCCUCCCAGAUGUCUGGGAGAAGAUGUACUCAGCCGUUUGCUGGAGGAUGGCCGCCUGCAGAAGAGCCGGGAGGGGAACACUGAGACAGGAGAGACCACGGCAUCUCCCCAAGCCCUGCUCCAGCCAAGCUCCCUCCCUGCCUGGGACACAGCAGCACUGCUCCUUGCCUGGCCCCAGCAUCUCCGUCCAGGUUCUGCUUCACC